CUGCGAAUGGCUCAUUAAAUCAGUUAUCGUUUAUUUGAUAGUACCUUACUACUUGGAUAACCGUGGUAAUUCUAGAGCUAAUACAUGCUAAAAAUCCCGACUUCGGAAGGGAUGUAUUUAUUAGAUUAAAAACCAAUGCCCUUUGGGCUCACUGGUGAUUCAUGAUAACUUCUCGAAUCGCAUGGCCUUGCGCCGGCGAUGGUUCAUUCAAAUUUCUGCCCUAUCAACUUUCGACGGCUGGGUCUUGGCCAGCCAUGGUGACAACGGGUAACGGAGGGUUAGGGCUCGACCCCGGAGAAGGAGCCUGAGAAACGGCUACUACAUCCAAGGAAGGCAGCAGGCGCGCAAAUUACCCAAUCCCGACACGGGGAGGUAGUGACAAUACAUACUGAUACAGGGCUCUUUUGGGUCUUGUAAUUGGAAUGAGUACAAUUUAAAUCCCUUAACGAGGAACAAUUGGAGGGCAAGUCUGGUGCCAGCAGCCGCGGUAAUUCCAGCUCCAAUAGCGUAUAUUAAAGUUGUUGCGGUUAAAAAGCUCGUAGUUGAACCUUGGGCCUGGCUGGCCGGUCCGCCUCACCGCGUGCACUGGUACGGUCGGGCCUUUCCCUCUGGGGAACCGCAUGCCCUUCACUGGGUGUGUCGGGGAACCAGGACUUUUACUUUGAAAAAAUUAGAGUGUUCAAAGCAGGCUUAUGCUCGGAUACAUUAGCAUGGAAUAAUAGAAUAGGACGUGCGGUUCUAUUUUGUUGGUUUCUAGGACCGCCGUAAUGAUUAAUAGGGACAGUCGGGGGCAUCAGUAUUCAAUUGUCAGAGGUGAAAUUCUUGGAUUUAUUGAAGACUAACUACUGCGAAAGCAUUUGCCAAGGAUGUUUUCAUUAAUCAGGAACGAAAGUUAGGGGAUCGAAGACGAUCAGAUACCGUCGUAGUCUUAACCAUAAACUAUGCGAACUAGGGAUCGGACGAUGUUAUUAUUUGACUCGUUCGGCACCUUACACGAAAGUACAA
rnacentral:rRNA from 1 species